rnacentral:rRNA from 1 species
UGGGGAAUAUUGGACAAUGGGCGCAAGCCUGAUCCAGCCAUGCCGCGUGAGUGAUGAAGGCCCUAGGGUUGUAAAGCUCUGUCGACGGGGAAGAUAAUGACGGUACCCGUAGAAGAAGCCCCGGCUAACUUCGUGCCAGCAGCCGCGGUAAUACGAAGGGGGCUAGCGUUGCUCGGAAUCACUGGGCGUAAAGCGCACGUAGGCGGGUCUUUAAGUCGGAGGUGAAAUCCUGGAGCUCAACUCCAGAACUGCCUUCGAUACUGAGGAUCUCGAGUCCGGGAGAGGUGAGUGGAACUGCGAGUGUAGAGGUGAAAUUCGUAGAUAUUCGCAAGAACACCAGUGGCGAAGGCGGCUCACUGGCCCGGUACUGACGCUGAGGUGCGAAAGCGUGGGGAGCAAACA